rnacentral:rRNA from 1 species
CCUACGGGUGGCAGCAGAGGGGAAUAUUGCACAAUGGGGGAAACCCUGAUGCAGCGACGCCGCGUGAAGGAAGAAGUAUUUCGGUAUGUAAAAUUCUAGCAGCAGGGAAGAAAAUGACGGUAUCUGACUAAGAAGCCCCGGCUAACUACGUGCCAGCAGCCUCGGUAAUACGUAGGGGGAAAGCGUGAUCCGGAUGUACUGGGUGUAAAGGGAGAGUAGGCGGCGAUUCAAGUCAGAAGUGAAAGCCCGGGGAUCAACUCCGGGACUGCUUUUGAAACUGUAUGGCUAGAUUGCAGGAGAGGCAAGUGGAAUUCCUAGUGUAGCGGUGAAAUGCGUAGAUAUUAGGAGGAACACCAGUGGCGAAGGCGGCUUGCUGGACUGUAAAUGACGCUGAGGCUCGAAAGCGUGGGGAGCAAACAGGAUUAGAUACCCAAGUAGUC